rnacentral:rRNA from 1 species
AGAGUUUGAUCCUGGCUCAGAACGAACGUUGGCGGCGUGCUUAAUACAUGCAAGUCGUACGAGAAAGCCCGAUUUCGGUUGGGCAAGUAAAGUGGCGAACGGGUGAGUAACACGUGGAUAACCUGCCCUUAAAUCUGGGAUAAUCAGCCGAAAGGCCGUCUAAUACCGGAUGAUACCAUUUGAUGGCAUCUUCGAAUGGUCAAAGGAGGAGCAAUCUUCCGUUUAGGGAUGGGUCCGCGUUCCAUUAGCUUGUUGGUGGGGUAAAGGCCUACCAAGGCGAUGAUAGGUAGGCGGCUUUGACGAGUGGUCGCCCACACUGGGAUUGAGAUACGGCCCAGACUCCUACGGGAGGCAGCAGUCGAGAAUAGUCUACAAUGGGGGAAACCCUGAUAGUGCGACGCCGCGUGGAUGAAGAAGCAUUUCGGUGUGUAAAAUCCUUUUCUUUGUGAGCAAGUCAUUAGAGGUUAAGAGCUUUUAGUGAUUGAUAUUAGCAGAGGAAUAAGCUCCGGCUAACUCCGUGCCAGCAGCCGCGGUAACACGGGGGGAGCGAGCGUUGUCCGGAAUUACUAGGCGUAAGGGCAAGUAGCGGAGGGAUAGUCAGUGUUAAGACGUCGGCUCACCGCGCGAGCAUUUGAUA